CGGACUUUCAGGACGGGGACGGGGACGCGAGGAGACUUGUGUAGAACUUCUAAGCCAGCGAGGCACAAACCAGUAAAAUAACCGCAGUUUAAAUGCGAGUUAGAACUCCACCCAACACAGUUCUAUUCAACAUGCAGCCUGCCGAUGAGAGGGCCCUCUUUAUGCCCUUGACGCCGCACUGGCCGCCUCUUUCCGCACGCCGUAAACUUAAUCCCCUUCGCCCGGAGAGCAAGAGAGCGGGCCGCAGGUCGUCCCUUGUGGUUGCCACCACGUGUUCGCCCGCUCUCUCGCGCUCUUCCUUUCCGGGCAGCGAAGGUUGGACCCACAAAGAAAAUGGAGGUAAAGGGAGAGAGAGAGAGAGAGAGUACUUUUACUGCCCCAAAGCGCAGCACAAAGCCGUGCGGUUCAUCCUCCGCAGUGCCCCGGAGACAGCGGAAUAAAGAUUGCUGAAGAUUAUUUUCUUAUGACAACUUCAGCAACAACGGAUAAAUAACUGCAGGGUCAUGUCAAACUCUGCAUGAUGCCAUGAAUCAAGUAGCCAGCAUCACUGGGAAAAAGUGGUAUUUAAUCAAAUGCCUCCUGAUCUACUUUUGUUCAUCUAAGCCAGCCUUCCCUACUUGAUUCUCUCUAGAUAAGUUGGACUGCGACUCACAUUAUUCCCAGAUGCAUAUGGAAGGUAUCAGGGUAAGCAUUAAAUGUCAGAAACAGAACUGUUUUGAUCUUGUUUUCCGCUCUUUGUCGUGUGUGUGUGUGUGUUUGUAACUCUGAUUUUAUAUUGCUUUUCCUGUUAUCUAAUUGUAAAAUAUUACGGUAUGUGCAAGAAAUAACCGUCCCCAACUUCAUGGAACUCUUAAUGACAAAGUCAAAUGAUAAAGGUGAGGAUUUGGCAUUCUUAUGCAGUACAAGCUGCUCUAAUGCAAUUUUAAACAUGCUUUCUCAGAGGUAAGCUCCAAUAAAGUGGCUGUCUUAGUGAAACUAAUCAAUGUAUGCAUUUAAAGCUUUUGGAAUCUGGGAUAUAUAUAUAUAUAUAUGUAUAUGUCUGCUGCUGUGAAGCUGGUGUCACGACACAUAUCAGAAUAGAGGAAAUCAUUUGCACACUGUCUGAUACAUGAGAGACACAGGACACAAUCUUGCUUCCCAUGGUGCUCUUUGUGUAGAUUCAUUUUUGCAAAGAUAAAGACAUGACUGGGAGAAAGGAGAAGAAAUAGCACAUUAUGUGCCCUAAAGGCUCAAGACAAAAAACAGAGAAGAAAAAAGCUCUUAGAAAAAUAAGGGGAAAAAUAUUGCUCGUAUUUUUUUAAAAAAAAAAUAAAACACACAUAUACAAAUGACUGCUACAAUGGACAUUUUGGCUUUGCCUAUUGUAUCUCCAGUUGAAGCAGAAAUGUGUCACACAGAAUUUGUUAUUUGAAAAUAGGCAUCUGGUUGGAUUAUGUUCAGAGCAUCAGUACUUUUCAACGGAUUACUUUUUCAGUUGGAUCUGGCCCAAUUGCUGCAAUAAUCCAAGCAUCUCACCAUGCUGAAUCUCUUUUUUUAAGUACUGCAGUCCUUUUCCUAUGCCAAGGAAAGUUAUUGGCGCCUCUCCAUAGACUGGAGGAACUAAAGCUGAAAGAAUAGUGGAGUUGGCCACAUGUCCUAGCAUCUUCCCGUGAGGAUUUAUUUUUGCUCCAAAAUUAGUGAGACAAGAUCAUGCCAUAAGGAAUGGCUGAAGCUCAGCCAUGUUGCCACAAUAGAACCAGUGGAAGGCAUGUAAUGAGAUGAAUAGUUAAUCAGCCCAGAAUAGUAAUUUGCCUACCUAUCAGCCUCCAAGUAGUAGCAGUCAGCCAAUCUUAUCUGGGUUUUGAAAAUAAACAGGGCUGAACCUGGUUAAUAUUUAAAUGGAAGGUUUAUAAGAGUUUAGGAAUUUAUUCAAUUUACAUGACUGCCUCCUAAAAUGUAAUAUCAAACCACUCCCAUGUUAUUGCCAAGAAAACUGGUGAGUAUGUCCAUGAAAAUACCAGAAGUCAAGAUUAAUCGAAAGGAAGCCAUCUUAAAAAGCCAGUUAAGUGUAGUGGUUAAGAUGCUAGCUUAGAAACCAGGAGACUGUGAAUUCUAGACCUCCCUCAGACAAAUUCACUGGAUGACUUUGGCCAAGCCAUUCUCUCUCAGUCCAACCCACCUCACAUAUUUGCUAUAGGUGGAAGAAGGAGAAUUAGGUAAAUUCACAGAAUAAGAUAAUAUCUUACACAUAUAAGAAUAUUUAUUCAGAAGUAAAUGCUGUUGAAUUCUAAUGGAUUCUCUCAAUUAAAAGUGGACACAACACCAGUUUAAUUUCUAAAAUAAGAUCAUGCUUCCUCAUCAGAAGUAAUAAGAUAAUAGUAAGCAAAAGCUGCAAUUUGCUUAUGAACAGAGCAGGGGUGGGUUCUAAAGUUUUUUACUAUCGGUUCUGUGGGCAUGGCUUAUUUUGUGGACGUGGCUUGGAGGUCAUGUGACUGGGUGGGUGUGGCUAGCUGGUCAAGUGACCGGGUGGCCAUGGCUAUAUGUAUAGGGACUACUCAGAGGGCUGAAAAAAGUCAUUUCUGACAGGUCCUCGCACUUUUGACUGGUCCUCACACUUAUGACCAUCCUCACAUUUAUGCCCAUGCAGCAUUCUUAACAACCAUGUCACUCAUUUCACAACUGCUUCGCUUCACCAUGGUGACAAGAUAGGGCAAAAAACAUAAA